AGCGUAGGCGGACUUUUAAGUGAGAUGUGAAAUACCCGGGCUCAACUUGGGUGCUGCAUUUCAAACUGGAAGUCUAGAGUGCGGGAGAGGAGAAUGGAAUUCCUAGUGUAGCGGUGAAAUGCGUAGAGAUUAGGAAGAACACCAGUGGCGAAGGCGAUUCUCUGGACUGUAACUGACGCUGAGGCUCGAAAGCGUGGGAGCAAACA
rnacentral:rRNA from 1 species